rnacentral:rRNA from 1 species
CGAACGGGUGAGUAACACAUCGGAACGUACCCAGGAGUGGGGGACAACCUCGAGAAAUCGAGGCUAAUACCGCAUACGUCCUGAGGGAGAAAGCGGGGGAUUCGCAAGGACCUCGCGCUCAUGGAUCGGCCGAUGCCGGAUUAGCUAGUUGGUGGGGUAAUAGCUCACCAAGGCUACGAUCCGUAGCUGGUUUGAGAGAACGACCAGCCACACUGGGACUGAGACACGGCCCAG